CUGCCCCAGUGCCCGGAAUAGCCCUGCGAAAGCAGGAUUAAUGCCGGAUGAAGUCAUCACACGGCAUCGUGAGAUGAAAAAAGGUUUACCACUCUGGGAGGAGCUCGCGGCCUAUUAGCUUGUUGGUGGGGUAAUGGCCUACCAAGGCGAUGAUGGGUAGCUGGUCUGAGAGGACGAUCAGCCACACUGGGACUGAGACACUGCCCAG
rnacentral:rRNA from 1 species